rfam:Oryza nivara chromosome 6, whole genome shotgun sequence.
AAUAAGCGUCCUAAAGUUUUGCACUAUUCGCGUUCAACAUUUAACCGUUCGUCUUAUUUAAAAUUUUUUUAUGAUCAGUAUUUUUAUUGCUAUUAGAUAAUAAAAUAUAAAUAGUACAUUAUGUGUGACUAAAUAUUUUUAAAUGUUUCAUAAAUUUUUGAAAUAAGAUGGACGGUCAAACGUUGGACACGAAUAUCCACAGC